CACAGAGGAGGACACGCUCCGUCCCGGUUUCUACAAUAUAGGAUUAUCUCACUGGAUAUAUUGUUGACCCGUCAAGGAUGGAUAGGGACAGGGACAAGAUGGCGGAGAGUAUAAUAAAUCUCACCCUAGAGAUCCUCUUCCGGCUUACUGGAGAGGACUACACAGUAGUGAAGAAGACGUCUAGUGGGCGCUGUCAGGACCCUGUGUCUGAAGGAUGGGGAAGAACCCUGAGCCCAAUCAUGGAGCCUCCACCUCACCCCCUGAUACAUGAGGAAAUCAAUAGAGAGAAGAUCCUAGAACUCACCAACAAGAUGAUUGAGCUGC